CUAGUUGGUGAGGUAACGGCUCACCAAGGCGACGACGGGUAGCUGGUCUGAGAGGACGAUCAGCCACACUGGGACUGAGACACGGCCCAGACUCCUACGGGAGGCAGCAGUGGGGAAUCUUGCGCAAUGGGCGAAAGCCUGACGCAGCAACGCCGCGUGGGGGAUGAAGGCCUUCGGGUUGUAAACCCCUUUCAGUGGGAACGAAAUUGACGGUACCCACAGAAGAAGCCCCGGCCAACUACGUGCCAGCAGCCGCGGUGAUACGUAGGGGGCGAGCGUUGUCCGGAUUUAUUGGGCGUAAAGAGCUCGUAGGCGGCUUGGUAAGUCGGGUGUGAAACCUCCAGGCUCAACCUGGAGACGCCACUCGAUACUGCCCUGGCUAGAGUCCGGUAGGGGAUCACGGAAUUCCUGGUGUAGCGGUGAAAUGCGCAGAUAUCAGGAGGAACACCAGUGGCGAAGGCGGUGAUCUGGGCCGGUACUGACGCUGAGGAGCGAAAGCGUGGGGAGCGAACAGGAUUAGAUACCCUGGUAGUCCACGCCGUAAACGUUGGGCACUAGGUGUGGGGCCUUAUCGACGGGUUCCGUGCCGCAGCUAACGCAUUAAGUGCCCCGCCUGGGGAGUACGGCCGCAAGGCUAAAACUCAAAGGAAUUGACG
rnacentral:rRNA from 1 species